rnacentral:rRNA from 1 species
AACCUGCCCCAUAGUCUGGGAUACCACUUGGAAACAGGUGCUAAUACCGGAUAAGAAAGCAGAUCGCAUGAUCAGCUUUUAAAAGGCGGCGUAAGCUGUCGCUAUGGGAUGGCCCCGCGGUGCAUUAGCUAGUUGGUAAGGUAAAGGCUUACCAAGGCGAUGAUGCAUAGCCGAGUUGAGAGACUGAUCGGCCACAUUGGGACUGAGACACGGCCCAAACUCCUACGGGAGGCAGCAGCA